AAUGAUUACAGAUUCCACGAGGACCAAGAACAGAUUUCCCACAACCACAAAAGAAUUCAUAGAACCAUAUAACCAUCGUACACAAGCAAAAAUCUCUGAGGAAGAGAGAGUGUGUGUGUGUGAGAGAGAGAAGGGUAUGGUAUCUAUUGGAGCGGGUUGAAGGAACUUAGAAUCAACUUUCUCCCAUCCAUGCAUAGCCACCAAGUCAAGGAGG
rnacentral:lncRNA from 1 species